CAAUUUUUUCGUUCUUCAUUAUCUUUGCAAUUUCGAGCGCAUUCCUCGGGCGAUGAAAGGACUAUAUCCUCACGUGGACCCCAAAAUUCUCGAUCUAAAUAUACAUGAAUUACAUCAAGAAAUGAAUGAAUACCGUUUCAUUUUGACUAAAUUAUUAACUAAAGCGAGCUAUGAAUAAACGUUAAUUCGUAUAAUUUCUUCAAAAUGAUAAGAAGCUCUCCUACACUAUUUGUGCUUCAAUAAUUUCGGUAUAACUGAGGUCAUUUAUGCAGUGUGUUCGGUGAGAAAUAUCCGAUAUAUUUCUUAUUUCAAACGCUAAAAAAUUGUCCCUCUCUCCCCUGAUUCAACCAAUCGAAAAUUUUUUUUCAUUCACCGAUAUUUUUUAUUCCUACAUUCUCUAUGGAUUAUGGUAAUAAAAGUGAGUACUCCACGUGCGGUGAACUCGCGCGUAAUGGAGAAGUGCGGUACAGGUGCAGAGGAUGUGAUUUUUAAGCACAUGCAUUAUGCAGUAGAACAGAUUCUGCUGAAGACUGCAUAUGUUGAUGGCUGAUUCUACAUUUUUUUUUUUAAAUACUAAAUCUAAAAUACACCUUAUUACUUUCUUUAUGCUAAUAUUAUUAAUAUGUUGCAGGAAAUAGGGAUUCAGAGGAACUGUAGAAGAAAAUGAUAAUUUUUAUAAAAAAUAGAUUUACUUUAAUAUAUACUUACGGCAAUACGAUAACUCCGUA